UUGCUUCACACAAAAUCCUGACAGUAUACAAGAAAACAAAAAUCCGGAUUUGCAUAGAAUGAUACCAUGUAACAUCAACAUACAUGAAUAAACUUCGUGAGGACAUACAAUUCCUUCGACAUUUUUCGAAAUUCAGAACCUUUCUAUAACCAAAUUCCCCUCCAUUAAGUCCAAAGAUGAUUGAAUCCUUAGAAUUACAGACUAGGAAACUGGUUGGACAUAGCAAAAACCAUUGCUUCACACAAAAUCCAGACAUAGUAUACAAGAAAAAAAAUCCAGAUUUACAUAGAACAAUACCAUGUAACAUCAAAGACAUAUGAAUAAAAUUUGCGAAGACAUACAAUUCCUUCGACAUCUUUCAAAAUUCAGAUCCUUUUCUAUAACUAGAUUCCCCUCCAUUGAGUCCAAAGAUGAUUGAUUUUUCUUAAAAUUACAAACCUUUCAUAUAAAUCUCAUCAAAACCACACAGAUUCUUCUCUAUAUCUCAGAAAACUUCAAAUGUGCUUCAUAUUCAUUUAAAAUUCAGAACUUUCAAUAGCUUCUAUGUUCAAACUCCCCUCCAAAUCAAUUCCAGUGAUAACUGAAUCCUAAAUUAC
rnacentral:lncRNA from 1 species